rnacentral:rRNA from 1 species
UACGGAGGGUGCAAGCGUUGCUCGGAAUUAUUGGGCGUAAAGGGCAGGUAGGUGGUCUCGUUUGUCUGGGGUGAAAGCCUUGAGCUUAACUCAAGAAGUGCCCCAGAAACGGCGAGACUAGAGUACUGGAGAGGGUCGUGGAAUUCCAGGUGUAGCGGUGAAAUGCGUAGAUAUCUGGAGGAACACCGGUGGCGAAGGCGGCAUCCUGGACCAAUUCUGACGCUGAGGAGCGAAAGCCAGGGGAGCAAACGGG